rnacentral:rRNA from 1 species
CCGCGGUAAAACGUAGGAGGCAAGCGUUAUCCGGAUUUACUGGGCGUAAAGCGCGUGCAGGCGGUUUGGUAAGUUGGAUGUGAAAGCUCCCGGCUCAACUGGGAGAGGUCGUUCAAAACUACCAGACUUGAGGGCGGUAGAGGGAAGUGGAAUUCCGUGUGUAGUGGUGAAAUGCGUAGAUAUACGGAGGAACACCAGUGGCGAAAGCGGCUUCCUGGACCGAUCCUGACGCUCAGACGCGAAAGCUAGGGGAGCAAACGG